rnacentral:rRNA from 1 species
UCCUAGUACGAGAGGACCGGAGUGGACGAACCUCUGGUGUUCGGGUUGUGUCGCCAGACGCAUUGCCCGGUAGCUAAGUUCGGAAUCGAUAAGCGCUGAAAGCAUCUAAGCGCGAAGCGAGCCCUGAGAUGAGUCUUCCCUGACUCCUUGAGAGUCCUAAAGGGUUGUUCGAGACUAGAACGUUGAUAGGCAGGGUGUGUAAGCGUUGUGAGGCGUUGAGCUAACCUGUACUAAUUGCCCGUGAGGCUUAACCAUACAACACCCAAAGGGUUUUG